CAUUAGAUGGCUGAAAGUAAGCAAUGGACUUUUAAACCAUUUAUAGUAAAUUAACAUUUACUUCUAAUGA
rnacentral:tRNA from 1 species